AGUGAACGCUGGCGGUAGGCCUAACACAUGCAAGUCGAACGGCAGCACAGUAAGAGCUUGCUCUUACGGGUGGCGAGUGGCGGACGGGUGAGGAAUACAUCGGAAUCUACUUUUUCGUGGGGGAUAACGUAGGGAAACUUACGCUAAUACCGCAUACGACCUACGGGUGAAAGCAGGGGAUCUUCGGACCUUGCGCGAUUGAAUGAGCCGAUGUCGGAUUAGCUAGUUGGCGGGGUAAAGGCCCACCAAGGCGACGAUCCGUAGCUGGUCUGAGAGGAUGAUCGGCCACACGGGAACUGAGACACGGUCCAGACUCCUACGGGAGGGAGCAGUGGGGAAUAUUGGACAAUGGGCGCAAGCCUGACCCAGCCAUACCGCGUGGGUGAAGAAGGCCUUCGGGUUGUAAAGCCCUUUUGUUGGGAAAGAAAAGCAGCAGGUUAAUACCCCGCUGUUCUGACGGUACCCAAAGAAUAAGCACCGGCUAACUUCGUG
rnacentral:rRNA from 1 species